UUUGGCAACGUUCACACUCACUCGGACUUGAAGAACGUCGUCUGUGUUCUGCCUCGUGUGAGAAAACUGGAAAAGACUAUCUCUGUGUGUUGCUUCAGUUAAUGGAUUUUUUUCCUCAACAAGAAACAAAUUGUGUCUGUAUACAUGAGUUGCGUGCGAGUAAAGCAAUAACUUAGACUCCAAUCUUCAGCGCUAGAUGGCGGACGGAUGUUUUUAAAUUGUGGAUGGAUGUUUUGACGUUUUACAACUUCAAUUUACGCCAUAAUACGGUAUAUUACGAAGGACUUGUAAGAUUCAGUGUUGACAAUAAUGGCUGCCAGUGUUUCUUCAAGACAAAAACGCAGACGCAUUCAGCAAAUAUUGGUUAACGGAAGUGCGUUUUACCAGGAAGAUGCCGAGCAAUAUUCCUCUGCUAACCAAAGUGUGACUGGUGCCAGUGAAUCAAACAGUGAUCAAAGUGAUAUAUUACAUAACAACUCAUUACAAGAUUAUUGCAUUGCAGAAGUUGUCGACAGUGACAUGAAUCAUAGUGAUACAGAACCUGACAGUGACAGCGAUGAUGAAAUUUAUGUAGACUGUGAAGAAGAAACUGAAACGUGUUAUGAAGUGGAGGAAGAUGACACAUUUUUCGACUGUGAGGAACGCAAUAUUAACACAUGUGAGUUUCGUGAAAGUCUUGCCUCUUGGGCUGUUCAGUGCCAGAUUCCGCAAUCGCAUGUAGACAAAUUACUUGUGCUCCUGAAAUCAUUCUCAGACUUUGACACAUCCAACCUUCCUAAAAGUUGUCGAACACUUCUGAAAACUAUUCGUCGCACUGCAACAAAAGUAGUUGGCCCAGGACACUACUAUCACUGUGGUGUUGAAAAAGGAAUCCUGUCAACUCUUCAAAGAAUGCAAGUGAAACGCAUUCCUUCUAAACGUAUCAAAUUGCUGAUAAAUGUUGACGGUGUGCCCAUAGCUAAAAGUUCCGGUAGCCAAUUUUGGCCGAUUCUGGGUAGACUUAGUGGCUUUCCACAUUCCAAACCUUUCUUGAUAGGUAUCUAUCAUGGGCCUUCCAAGCCAUCUGAUGCAAAUGUUUUCCUUGCUGAUUUCACAACAGAAAUAUUAGAUUUGCUUGAAAAAGGCAUAUUGUAUAACGGUGAGGUACUGACACUCGUUAUAUUUGGAUUUGUUUGCGAUGCGCCGGCAAGGGCUUUCAUUGCUUACACAAAAACACACAGCGGUUAUUUCAGUUGCUCAAAGUGUACAGAGGAAGGGGAUUUUGAAGGUAGAAUCGUAUUUUUGAACGAGAAGGCCCCAUUGCGUACCGAUGCAACUUUUCGAAGUCAACGACAAGACGAGCAUCACACAGGUCGGUCAAUUUUAGAGCAGUUGCCAAUUGAUAUGGUGGCCACCUUUCCCCUAGAUUACAUGCACCUUUGCUGUUUGGGGGUCAUGCGUAAAUUGUUGUGGCAAUAGAUAAAAGGUCCUCUUUCGUGUAGAUUAAGCCAAACUCAGAAAAACACAAUCUCGAGCUUUUUAAAUUUUUUGGCAAGUUACAUUCCUUCAGAAUUCAGUCGUAAAUCGCGGUCGUUAGCAGAAUUAGCAAGGUGGAAAGCCACCGAACUAAGAGAAUUUUUAUUGUAUACUGGUCCGAUUGUAUUGAAAAAUGUGCUACCAAAACGCCUUUACGAACAUUUCCUUCUUUUUCAUGUUGCGGUCAAACUUUUGGUAGCACAACAUUUCUGCAAAGAGUUUAACGACUACGCCAAACAGUUGCUUGUGUUGUUCGUGACGGAGGCAAAAGAAAUUUACGGCAAAGAAUUUCUCAGCUACAACGUUCAUAAUUUAAUUCACUUGGCAGACGAUGUACGUCACUUUGGCAAUCUUGAUUCUUUCAGCGCUUUUGCUUUCGAAAAUUAUCUGCAGGACAUUAAACAUCUUUUGCGAAAACAUAAUCAACCCUUAGCCCAAGUUAUCCGAAGACUUGAUGAGAUCCAGUUAAAUCUAGUACCACGGAUAAAUUGUGCUGUCUCACCUUUCGUAUUGAAAAAGAAACACACUCAAGGGCCGAUGAUAAAUGGCUGUCGUGGCGUUCAGUUCAAGUUUCUCCAAUGUCACUCAUGGACUUUUCGUACAGAUAACGAUGCAGAUUGUUGCGCAAUUCUUCAGGACCAAACGAUUGUAAAAAUUGCCAAUUUAUUGAAGAGUGAAGAAGGAAUUGUCUUGGUCGGGCAUAGUUUUCUUCACAAAACUAGCCACUAUUCUUCCCCCUUACCAUCUUCCAGACUCGGAAUAGUUUGUGCAAGACGACUUUCUCAAUUACAACGUUGGCCUAUAAAGUCCUUGAAAUGCAAAGCAAUGCUGCUGCCAACAGCAGUUCAUAGUCUUUAUGACUUCGCUGUUUUUCCAUUGCAUAUGCAAAGCAACGCAUAGCUUCAAUCUUGCAAGUCGAUGUAACUGAAGAUUCCAUUAUUAACAUCUCUCGGCUUUUGAAAGGAUUUCCAAAUUUUUUUCCAUUAAAAGAAAUGCAGCGAUUAUUUUUUUAUUUCCUCUACGAUGUUUCAUUCUCGAUUCUUCUUCAAGGGUGGUCUUUUAAGAAAUCUGACAACUCCAUUUUGUAGCGUCUGUCUUCUGCUCUGUUGUCUCAUCAAGCGUCGUGUCUCGUGUGUCUCGUCUCGUGUGUCUCAUGUGUCUCGUCUCGUGUGUCUCGUCUCGUGUGUCUCGUCUCGUGUGUCCUGGAAUUUAUUUGCUUUCAAUAAAGGGAUAUUAACAUAUGCCAGAACGGGGUGAAAUGUUUCUUAUAGUGGAGUAUAUCAUAGGUGAACAUGAGACCGAAGUAGAAGUUGUCCCCAGUUCAUGGUACUCAUCAGGUCAGUGUUGGUGGCCUCCAGGUGCAUUUGCUCGUUCAACAUUGGAAAAAAAGUAUCGAAGUCAGUGGAUUGUGAUAAAGCUACAUGGGACUGUUAUGAUGCUCGCCUCAUUGCUACUUUCAAAACGUAUGCAGAAGCCAAGGCUAAGUUGCCUCUUGCUAUUGCUGGAGAAUCAGUAGCUCCCAGCUCGACUGACGUUGAUGGACAUAAAAA